rnacentral:lncRNA from 1 species
UGGUGUGUUCUCAGCAGCAGCCAGAGGACCACUCCUGUCUCCCUGUAUAUGCUGAUUUGCUGGGGUUUCUGGCCAGAAAGAAUCAUAUAGGCUGUCCAUAAAACAGCUGGAGAGGUGGGUAAAGUUUACCCUGCAGAUGACAAGGCUCAGGGGAGCAGGAGAGCUGCCUUUGAAUAUUUAGAGGACUGUCCCUUGGGAGUAGGCAAGGACACCCCUCCUGAGCCUCACGGCUCCACAGGUGGACCAAGAACCAGUGGCAGAAGUACCAGGGAGGCAGAUGGUUUCUUGAGGCUCAAGCUGCCUGCUGGUUUCAGACACCUUCUCUUCUGGGGCUUCUGCCAAAUGUUUUUCUUCCCAGGGUCUCCCCAAGAGCUGCUUCCUUUGACUCCUGCUGUGUGUAGUUCUGCUGACAAUGACCUGGACAGCUCUGCGCCAUGCACAGCGUCUCUUUUCUCCGACUUACCAAAUUUUAGACACUACUGACUCCUCCAUGUGAAAGAUGGGAAUUCAGCUACAUCACAUUACCCUACAAACUUUAUUGUUAAUAUUUCUUCCCGGUCAGCCCCAAACACUGAAUGUAAAUACGGUCCAACAUCAACCUGCAAACGAACACUGACAUGAAAGUGCAGUUGGAAAGGAUCUCGCAAAGGAACAGAAUCUGGUGAUCCUAAUCGUAAUGAACGUGAUCGCCGGGUAUUGAGAGCUUGCAGGUACCAGGGCUCCGGCACUACGUGUUUCACAGGGGCCACUCGGUAGACCUCUUGGUGACCUUGAGGUCAGGUACCACGUUCCCAUUUUACAGAGGAGGAAACUGAGAUAACCUACGACAGCGAAAAGGUAGCAGAGCUGGGACUGGUGCCCAGGCUCGCCGAGUGGAAAAGCCCUCGGCCACCGUGGAGAGCUCGCUUCCUGUGGUCUGAAGCGUCGCCCCUGCACCGGCUUCUGCUGCCAAGGAUGGCUUUUCCUCACUGGUGCCCACCUACGCUCACUUGUGUCAUGUGGUUAAGCCCUUUUGGCAACAUAAGACCUUUCCCAAGAAUGUGCCUCGGUGCAGAGGAAGACGGUGGGGGCAGGCCCCCUCCCCGGGAUGCUCCACCCUCCCUGACCUCACACGGGUGCAACCUGGGCCGUGGCCGAGACCUGCUGUGUGGCAGACAAUGGGAAGCCUGUGUGUCGUCCUGGGUGCCGGAUUUAGACAAUAUUUAGCUUUCCCUUGGUGGAAAAGCCUUUCCCCUCCUGCUUUGGGCAGGAACUGGUUCCUGUUGGGCGGGGCCUGGCUGCUGCCCCACCCCCACCCGGCCGGGCACCUUGACCGGCAGCUCUCCGGGCUGCUCCCUGCCUGUGUCCCUGAGCACUGACUCCAGAGGUUUAAUCAUUAACGGGCACGUUUGGCCUUCGGUCGUGGGCUGGAAUUUGGGACCUGUGCCCGGGAACAAUGAUCUCCGACACAUUAUUUUGUGUAAAAUCACUUUUAGCUGCCAUUAGCUAAUAAAGCUGGAAUAAAGUGAGGUCCAUUAACCA